UACCAGCACCCCGAGUGGUCGGGACGAUUAUUGGGCCUAAAGCAUCCGUAGCCGGUCCUACAAGUCUUCCGUUAAAUCCACCUGCUCAACAGAUGGGCUGCGGAAGAUACUAUAGGGCUAGGAGGCGGGAGAGGCAAGCGGUACUCAGUGGGUAGGGGUAAAAUCCUCUGAUCCAUUGAAGACCACCAGUGGCGAAGGCGGCUUGCCAGAACGCGCUCGACGGUGAGGGAUGAAAGCUGGGGGAGCAAACCAG
rnacentral:rRNA from 1 species